rnacentral:snRNA from 1 species
GGAUGUGAGGUCAAUCUGGCUAUGACAUCCAUCCCCCCAUUCAUCACCAUGGUUAAUUCAGCUGAUCUUGCUGGCUAGGCACAUGUCCCCUGACCCCCUAAGUUUUCCAUGUGUGUCCCUCCCAAAGCUGCAUGCUCUUUCAAAGACAACCUUCCCAGAAUAGAGGACUCAUUUUCAGUCAAGGAUAUAUGCAUAGCUGUUCUCCCCUGCCAGAACCUCCAAACAAGCUCUCAAGAAUAAAAGAGGCAGGAUGUUUUAAGAGAAUAUUAGAAGCUGAACCCACAAAGUUAUUGAGGUACUCACUUUCUCAUGU